AAAUAGUGCAAUCAUAUAUUGAAGCAGAUGAAAUUCAAAAAGAAUGAAGUCUAAAGACUCAAGAAACUUAGAAUAAUGUUACAGAUGCCAUAUUGGGUUUAUUUGGGAUGUAAUAAAAAAAUUUCUAGUCCUAGCUCUAGAGUCUUAUUUAUAUUUGGUGGAUUCUAUAGUUAUUUUACUUGAAAUAAAAUAACAUUAUUUUAUUUUACAAAAAG
rnacentral:misc_RNA from 1 species